UACGUAGGGUGCAAGCGUUGUCCGGGAUUAUUGGGCGUAAAGAGCUCGUAGGCGGUUUGUUGCGUCGGCUGUGAAAACCUGAGGCUCAACCUCAGGCCUGCAGUCGAUACGAGCAGACUAGAGUGUUGCAGGGGAGACUGGAAUUCCUGGUGUAGCGGUGAAAUGCGCAGAUAUCAGGAGGAACACCGGUGGCGAAGGCGGGUCUCUGGGCAACAACUGACGCUGAGGAGCGAAAGCGUGGGGAGCGAACAGG
rnacentral:rRNA from 1 species